rnacentral:rRNA from 1 species
UACAGAGACUGCGAGCGUUAUUCGGAUUCACUGGGCGUAAAGGGUGCGCAGGCGGCCGAGUGUGUGAGGCGUGAAAGCCCGGGGCUUAACCCCGGAAUUGCACCUCAAACUACACGGCUAGAGCAUUGGAGAGGGUAGCAGAAUUCAUGGUGUAGCAGUGAAAUGCGUAGAUAUUGGGAGGAACACCAGUGGCGAAGGCGGCUCACUGGACCGGAACUGACGCUGAGGCGCGAAAGCGUGGGGAGCAAACGGG